AAAAUGUAAAUGAGAUAAUAAGCUCCAUUGCAACAAUGUGGGUGAAUUACAGCUGGAGAAAGGGAAAACUCAUUUGAUUUAUUUCUAAAAAUGGAAAGGUUCCUAAAAUAAAAUCACAUUGUUUGGGUCUCACACAGCAUCGAGAGGCACGGGAAGGAGGGAAGGGAAAAGUGACGGCUUUGAGAAGGCGCCGCUGGAAUAUUCUGGCAGAUUUUGGGGACCUGGAGUGGAAUUUGGGGAUGAAUCCAUCCCAGUCACGGGGAUCCAGAGCCACUGGACACUGAUGUGGAAGGAGAAAGGAACCUCUGAGCUGCACGUCUGGGCAACACUUACUUCAGUUUCCUGAGAAUAAAUUCCAUAGACAGACCCCUGAAGAAGAAAACAGGUGAACUCUUUGCCCCAUAAAUCAGUCAGGCUUCCUGAAGAGGCCAAAGAUACAAAACUACAGAUGCCUGCACAGAAACACUUCAGAAAAAGCUUCAGCCUUGAAGUUCACAGUCUUCUCCAUAAGCCUCAAGCCCUCAGUCUUCCUCAUGAAUAUUUUUAAGGGUCAACAAAUCAAAUAUUUACUGAGUUAGAUCCUGUUCAUCAGUGAAUCAAGACAUGAUGGUGCAAGAAUCAGCAACAGUGAACUACUCCCAGGAAAGGCAUCCCACUCUCCAAUGCAGGAUGGACAUGAAAUCCACAUGUAACAAGCUUGGAUAAUAAAGUACAUUUUCAAUAAAACUAAUCCAGCUUUCCUUCUCAUUACACAGACACGUGCUGUAUGAACACAGAGAGGCAAGUUCCUUGGGCUGAAAGGCAGUGAGGGGUACAAACAGAAAAUAUUCUCUGCACAAAUUUUAGUGGGAAAAGGAGCAGAGUACAACACACAGAACAGACUUGCUCCUGCUUCUGGACUCCAGUGCUACUUUGGCUGCCAACAGUACACAAAAUUUCCACUGAAGGGCAAGUCAAACCAAUUUCCCUGAGGAUGGAGGCAUCCGAAAACUCGCUGAGGUUAUUCCAUUAGUGCCUACGCAUUCUCUAAGCGGAUGAGCAGCUUCACUUUGAAUCCAUGUCAAACCACAAGGACUGGCUGAUAAUAACAUUCAAUUAAAAUGAUUUCACCCCCCCAGAAAAAACUGGCUAACAGCUCCACCUCACCUUUUCUAGCUGGGCACAAUGGGGCGAUUGAUGCUGCAAGGAAACGGGAUAGGUUUGUGCCGAGGAGCCGCCGGGUCAGGUUUGGUGACAGUGUUUGUAGGUUUAACCUCUUACCCAAAUCUCCGAGAUGAAAAAGCCACUUCUGCUCAGCACACAACUGUGAGAAAGUCAGAGCUAGAGCUGGCAAACACCGAGCUGAGCUAAUUAGACAGGUGUUUUGAAAAACCCCAAGCUUCACGCUCGACGCGCAUUUGGACCUUUUGAUGUUGUAUCUGGUGCUGUUUCACACCACUGGGGCUCCAGAGAAAGGCAGGAGCUGCUCCCCUGCUCAGCUCUGGGGUGAGUUUGCCAUCUGAUCUGCUGGAUACACAGAUAAAAGUCACCGCAGACUUUUUUUCCCUUUUCAAGUGCAGCCCUUAACUUGGAAAGUUUCUUUUAUUCGCAGCUCCGCUGACGUAAGGAAGUGGCAGGAACAUGGCAGCUUUGGCUGCUUUCCUUUUGUAGCUCUUUGUAAGUAAUCUUUUAAUGCUAACAAAACAAUAGGUAUUUUCAUUUUGGAUGGAAAAAACAUUCCAUUUUAUAGAAAAUUAAACCAAUGCCUUUCAAAAAGUCUAAGAGUGCAACUGGCCACUUGAUUCUUCUCCUACCCUGCCUUUAAAUAUUGGUAAAUAGUUACCAUGCACAGGCAUCAGAUUCUCCAGGUUUCUCUUGUUACACUUAAGAAAAGCCCAACUAUUAGGAAAAUCGUGAAGUUUAACAAAGAUAUUUCUAUUUCCCUGUGAUCUGCCAUUCAAAAGUGUUAGCCAGCCAUUUUUUAAAAAACACUCUUGAUAUUUGAUCUUCUUGAGUUUCAGUUACAUAUAAAGCUGGAGAGCCAGCAGAAAAUUCUAAGUGGAAUCUGAAGAUUUCUAAAGUCAACACUCAUUUUGGCAGCAGCAUUUUAAUGCACAAAGCUGAAAUCCUCAGUGACUCUCUCCUGCUGAUACCCCUGGAGCAGCCAGCACAAAACCAAAAGCAACCUACAGCAGAACAUACGAAAAAAAAAAGGAUGUGGACACAAACACUGGAAGUGGUGUGGGCACAACGGGAUCAGCCAGGGCAACCUGGUGCUGCUCCAGCUCGCCCCUGGGACGAGCCACGGCGCAAGAGAGAUGUCUCAGGGAAAAGAGAUGUUGAUAACAAAGCAGAUCCACAUCCCCAAAGCCCUGCUUGCCAAACCCUGCAGCUCUCCUUGCUGUGCCAGCCUUUAAAACCCCUCAGUGAGGAGUUAUGAGCGUUUGUGGCCCGCGGAAGGUUUGCUUUGAAGGCGUCGCUCUCCCCAGCACCCUUUUGCUGGUGGGACCCGUGGCUCACACAGAUUGUGUUUCCACCUCCACGGCUGCAGGAGCCCUGCAGCCAAGGCUGUUCCAGGAGCAGGGAAGGAGGCUGCGUUCCAGGAACUCACUGGAACUGGAACAAAGCACAGCCCUUGGAAAGCCUACACAGCCCUGUGCACAGACUGUUUUACAGAUGCCCUGUCUUUGGACGGCUUUAGACACUUGUUUUUAUCUUUAUCUUUUUUUUUUUUUU